rnacentral:rRNA from 1 species
CCUAGUAAGUACAAGUCACUAGCUUGUGCUGAUUACGCCCCUGCCCUUUGUACACACCGCCCGUCGCUACUACCGAUUGAAUGGCUUAGUGAGGCCCUCGGAUUGAGGCUCGGAGACUGGCAACAGACUCUUGGUUUUGAAAAGUUGGUCAAACUUGGUCAUUUAGAGGAAGUAAAAGUCGUAACAAGGUUUCCGUAGGUGAACCUGCGGAAGGAUCAUUACCAAUUUUUAGCGGACCUGAUCUUUGAUCAUGGUCUCGCGAAAACUUGUAUUUAAAACCCCACUCUUAUAAAUUGAAUCAUUUUUUAUAUUGUAUAAUAAAUAAAGAUCACUUUCAACAACGGAUCUCUUGGCUCUCGCAUCGAUGAAGAACGUAGCGAAGUGCGAUAAGUAAUGUGAAUUGCAGAAUUCCGUGAAUCAUCGAAUCUUUGAACGCAAAUUGCACUCUCUGGCAACCCGGGGAGUAUGCCUGUUUGAGGGUCAGUAUUAAUAAAAUCGAUGUGUCGCUUUUGUGACAUUUCGGAUUUGGGUUGUCUUAACCUUUUAGGUUAAGAGGCCUGAAAUUAAUAAUUUUUUUUGCGCAUCCUAGACGUGUAUAAAUCGCUUAUCCGUUUUUGGGUGUUAACCUCUUUAUUAGGUAUGGUCACUUUGCAUGAUCUCGUACCUAUAAUUUUUCAUGAUUUGACCUCAAAUCAGGUAGGAGUACCCGCUGAACUUAAGCAUAUCAAUAAGCGGGAGGAAAAGAAAAUAACAAUGAUUCCCCUAGUAACUGCGAGUGAAGAGGGAUAAGCUCAAAUUUUAAAUCUGUCAGGUGUUACCUGACCGAGUUGUAAUUUGAAGAAGGCGUUUUCGCGCGUUCUGGCCAGCCAGUUCCUGAACAGGCAUCAUGAGGUGAGAUCCGGUUGCUGUCAGGGUGCGUUUUAUGAUACGCCUUUCAAGAGUCAGGUUGUUUGGGAAUGCAGCU